CUUUGUCUUUUAUUCCCAUGUUUGAACUAGUAUAGGUCGGGGUUACACAUUAUGGUGCACAUCACUUUAUUUAUCAUCAUUACAUUGAACACUCAUUGACUAAACAACGAUGAUCCAUCCGUCUUGUAUUACAGGUCUUCAUUUCAUUGGCCAUCGAUGCUUGUAAGACUACUCCCAUAUGGUUGUUGUUGUGGAUAUGGUUGUUGAGGUUGGUGUGGUUGCUGGGGGAAUGGUUGUUGGGGUUGCUGGGAAAUUGUUUGUUCUAGUUGCUGGGAUAAUUGUUGUUGGGGCUGCAGAAAUGGUUGUUGUGGUUGCAGGAUGGAUGGUUGUUGGGGUUGCUGGGGUUGGGGCUGGGGAAAUGAUUGUUGUGAUUGUUGGGGUUGCUGGGAAAAUGGUUGUUGCGGUCGUAGGGGGAAUGGUUGUUGUGGUUNNNNNNNNNNNNNNNNNNNNNNNNNNNNNNNNNNNNNNNNNNNNNNNNNNNNNNNNNNNNNNNNNNNNNNNNNNNNNNNNNNNNNNNNNNNNNNNNNNNNNNNNNNNNNNNNNNNNNNNNNNNNNNNNNNNNNNNNNNNNNNNNNNNNNNNNNNNNNNNNNNNNNNNNNNNNNNNNNNNNNNNNNNNNNNNNNNNNNNNNNNNNNNNNNNNNNNNNNNNNNNNNNNNNNNNNNNNNNNNNNNNNNNNNNNNNNNNNNNNNNNNNNNNNNNNNNNNNNNNNNNNNNNNNNNNNNNNNNNNNNNNNNNNNNNNNNNNNNNNNNNNNNNNNNNNNNNNNNNNNNNNNNNNNNNNNNNNNNNNNNNNNNNNNNNNNNNNNNNNNNNNNNNNNNNNNNNNNNNNNNNNNNNNNNNNNNNNNNNNNNNNNNNNNNNNNNNNNNNNNNNNNNNNNNNNNNNNNNGCCAGGGAAAUGGUUGUUGCGGCUGUGGAAAAGGUUGUUGUGGUUGUUGGGGUUGCUGGGGGAAUGGUUGUUGUGGUUGUAGGGGGGUCGGUUGUUGGGGCUGGGUAAAUGGUUGUUGUGAUUGCUGGGGAAAUUGUGGUUGGGGUGUGGGAAAUGGUUGUUGCGAUGGAUAUGGUUGCUGUGAUGGAUAUGGUUGUUGUGGAUAUGGUUGCUGUGGAAAUGGUUGUUGUUGAUGGGAAAAUGAUUGUUGAGGUGAUUGUAGCUCUUUGUUGCUAGGGUUUAGCUGCCUAGCAGCAGUGGCGAUGUUCAUCGCCAUGGCAAGGAGGACAAAGAUGAGGAAGGUCUUCAUGUUUGAUUUGUGGUUACUACUGCUUGCUUGCCUUUGAUGCUUGUGGUCUAGGUGUGUGAAGUUUGGAUGAUGGAAGGUGUCCUUGGUGGUGCAUGUGUAUUUAUAGUUUUCAUGGCAUGGCUUGCUUUCAUCUUUGCACUCGCUUUUUGAAAAAGUGCAUCAAUGCUUGUCCAACUAAUCAUUUGGUUUGUUGUGUUUGGUGCAGCUACUUACUAGCGAGAUUUUGGAUUUUCAUGAUAGUUGCUUUUUGUUGAAAUCAUCUGGUUGUAAGGAAUGUUGGAUAAUGACCAAUGACUCAUCUUCUUCACUUUACACCGCAAACAUUGAUCUAGAUUAUGUCCCUUUUUGAAAUUUAGUUUGUGAAGCUCUACAUGUUGUUAGGCUUAUCCAUAUUGGCAUAGCUUGAGUGGAACUAAGUUUGUAAGCUUGUGUGCGUCAUUAUGAUGUAUCACACUAUUAAUGUGACGAUUCUUUUAGAAAUUAUCUUUCCAAAACUAACUUUAUGUUUUUUUUGCCCAAUAUGAUUCUAAGACGGAUAACCAAACAUGACUCAUCAAAUAACAAGAUAAACCGAGUAGCAAGUUGGGGGUUAUAAGUUAUAACAUGGACUUUUCUCUAAGAUACACCAUCUUGUCUUGCAUGCUCUAUGGAUUUGAAAAGCAUCUACUAAUUUAGAUGCAAUUGAAACAAAAGUAGACCAGAAAGAUAAGCAAUGAAAUGGGAAUACUAUUAUGUGAAGCUCUACAUGUCUGGUAAGCAGUAAGAUACUGGAUACAUCUAUAUCUUCAAUCCUGACAGAUUUUCUCAUCCCUAUCAACUCUUUAUUGGCUGCUUUUAUUGUAGUCAUCCCUUAAAUAAAAAUCACUUAAAGAUAAGUUUGGGAGCUAGUACCAGCAUCUAUCAUGUACAAGAUAGAAAACUAAGGCACAUAUAGUAGUCUAUUGACCAUAUUUAAUUUCUUGUGAUGUGAAAGCAUGUGGAGUAUAAGUUGGUUAAAUAUAAAGUUGUCCUUCAUACCAGUAGGGAAAGAAUAUGCAGUAUAAAGAUUAGAGCAUUGGAUUAAUAUGCUAUUAAAUGCUACAGGAUAAUCGACAGUUCAAGUUAAGAACAACAAUAGCAUUCCAACUUUUGUCUUGUGCAAGUUAAGAACAUGCUAACAAAGUAACCUAAGAAAAUAAGUGCAAAACCUUCACCUAUAAGGAAAUUUUGAAACUACACAAAAUGACCUAUUGUAAAGAAGGAAAAAAUCUAAAGGUGAAUGAAAGAACGUUAAGUACAUUCAGGAUUCGUUUAUGCCUUCGUGGAUAACCUUUUAGAUGGCGACUUGUCAACGUUGAUGUGUGUCGGCAUGGAACAAGGACAAGAAGACGUCGUUGCAUCGUACUUUGGGAAUUUCAUCAAACUGGUUGUGUGCGGGAACAAAUAUUUGUUCGCCUCCCUGCUCAAAUCUCUCUUCAUGUCACUGAAUCCGACACUCCACCUACCAAAAUCUGCUGCAAGCCAGGGACAAUCAACAGGUUUCUCCGCCCGUAGCAUCUAUCCCCAAAAGAAGUUCAGACUAUAGUCUUUUAGUUCAAAAUUUUGUAAUAACAAGCACUACUAGGUUGCUUUUUUUUGUACGUCUUCAUUCUGUACAACCCAUGGAACUAAAAAUGCAUUGGUCAUUCUUGGUCUAUACAACCAAUGCAACCAAAAAUGCAUUGGGCUUUUCUUUGUACAUCUUCAGGUUCUACAACCAAUGCAACAAAAAAUCCAUUGGGCAGUCUUCCAUUCUAGUCGGGCACCAAUAGUUAAACGAGGAGCUAAACAAUGUUGGAGUCUAAAACUACAUACAAUCAUGAAGCAGAGAGAGGCGACUUGGAAGCUGUGCUCCUGUGAGCUCGUAUUUUUGAAGAAAAAAAGUAAUAUUUGUAUUUUGAAGUGGAAAAAAAUCCUAAAAAGGGAUGUUUUGCGGGUUAUAACUUACUAUUUUUGAGUCCUGGGCUGGAGGAAGGUCGUCAAAAAUCAAUGUGUUUUCCCAUUCAUGCAUGUUUCUUGGGUUAUAGGUCACGCUUUUGGUGUCCUAGGGAGAUCACUUCCCCUGUCAAGAACAUUAGGUGAUGAUUUUUAGCAAAACUCAUUGUUUUAGCCUAACUAGUUUCGAGGAUUGGUGGACGAGAUUAUCAUGGAACAAAGUGACAACCUUCCUUUUCUUCGUGCCUAAUAUAAACUUAGCAGUCAGCUAAAAGUAACUAGCGAUAUCACAGAAUAUUUUUUGUCAAAAGUAGAUACCACUUCAGGAUUCAACUCGGUUAGUUCAAUCACAGACAUGUUAAGAGCAGGAUUUAUAACUGCAUAGGGAACAUCUCCUUUUAUCGCCCACUAUCUGUCUGUGCACUUUGGUUUUCCCGUAGCAGCACACAAAGCACUUUGUUAGUACCAAUAAUGUGUGCCAACUCUACAUAUUAAUCAUCUUGAAUUCUUCUACUGAUGUCGAACAAUGUUAUAUCUUGAAUUCUUCUAACGAGUUCGGAUUAGACUACAUGGGCAAUUUAUCUGGUCCCUGAGAUGCAAGGUCGAUGAACAAUCGCUUCGUCUUAUGACGAGGGAUUGUUUUUGCCUAAGAAACCAAUACAUGUAACUUCGACUCCAGAUUAAUAAAUGGUAAAACCCAAAUAAAUUAGAUACCAUUUACUUUUGUAUGCAUUUAAACUUUUGAUACAUAUGAGCUUGUUAAGAUGUUUGCAUAAACACCAUGGUGAUUUGAAGCAAAACAAAGUAAACUUGAACCGCUUGAGCCACUGACUUAAUAAGAGCCUCCUUUCCCGUGGCAGAGAUUGUUUUUAUUAUAUCCACUCACUUUGGCCCAUAGUUUGUCUUUGAGAUACUUACCCAAAUAUUUCUCAUUUAGUGUUUCUACUUGGACACUGAGACCACCUUUGACCUCAUUUUUGACAUUCUCUGUACAAUCCUUGCUGAGAAACACUAAAGGCUUCCUAUUUAUUUAUUCUUUGACCUAAAACUUGAUCGUGUCAUGUUUACUUAUUCUCCAGCCGAUGAAUAUGCAAGCUUCGUUGCGUCUUGCCUUGGUCUUGCACUGCUUGCAGCACAAUACGCCUGUGGAACUGCCGUUCCGAGUUCAGAGUGUCAAAGGUGGUGUGACGAUGUUGAGAUACCAUACCCGUUCGGUAGUGAUUCGGGUUGAUCAUUCAGAGAAGACUUUGACAAUAGCUGCAAGGACAAGAUUGCAUUAAGGAGCCUUUCAAGUACACCUCAGAGGUGCUCAGCAUCUUCUUGAUGAACAACAUGGUCCUAGUGUUGAAUAAUAUCAUAUGGGUAGUGCUACAACAACUCCACCACAAGCAUGGAGGAAUUUAGCAAAUUCCAUCAGUACUAGGAAAAAGCCUAGUAGCAACGCGGGGUAAAGGACUACUAGUAGCGCGGGUGCCCGCGCUACUACUAGGGCGCUACAGCUAACUGGUAGUAGUAGCGCGGGUGCCACCCUGCGCUACUACUACGUCUGUUAGUAUAGUAGCGCGGAUGUCACCCGCACUACUACUAGUUAUCUGUAGCCCGGGUCUGGACCCCGCGCUACUACUAACUAAUUAGGAAUUAAAAAAAUAAAUUCCAUCCAUGGUUGCUGCUGCUGGGCGUCAUCGUCCUCUCCGUCCAUGGCUGAUGCUGGUCCUGGAGGGGAUGAAGUCGUCCAUGGUGAUGGUACUUCCUCACCCAAAUCGUCCCCACACCUCUCCUAUGCUACUGCUACAAAAUAAGAGAAAACGAUUAGAAGAGGAAGAGAGAUAUUGAGAGGAGUAGAAGGAACAACUGACCGGUGGCCGCCGGAGUUGGAGCUGAUGCCCGAAACCCUAGACAAUGCCUGGUGACCUGUUGCUUCUUUUCCUGGGACCUCAUGUCCUCACAAGGCCAUGUCUCGGCGAGGAAGUGCAAGUGGUUGCGUGGCAGAUCUGUCCAUCGCCAUUGGUGGCGCUCUGCUGGAUCUCCCUCUCCUUCCAGCACCGGAGAAGUAGGCGAAGGUGAGGGGGCGAGCGUAAGUCAGUGGCCCAAACUUUUUAUAUAGAUGAGCUUCUUAAGAUGCUCGCAUAAUCCCCGUGGUAAUUUGAAGCAAGACAUAGAGUAAACUAGAACUGCUUGAGCCACUGACUUAAUGAGAACCUCCUUUCCCGUAGGAGAUAUCAUUUUUUCAAUCCAUCCAUUCACUUUGGCCCAUAGUAUGUCUUUGAGAUACUUAAAAGCACUAGAUUAGAAUUACCAAUAUCAUACGGCAAACCCAAAUAUUUCUCAUUUAGUGUUUCUGUUGGACACUGAGAACACCUUUGACAUGAUAUCUAACAUUCUCUGCACAACCCUUGCUGAGAAACACUGAAGACUUGCUAUUAUUUAUUCUUUGACCUGAUACUUGGCAAUAGGUUUGACACAUUUGUCGCCCCUGAACCAUUUGCCAUGAAAAACAGCAGGCUGUCAUCUGCAAAUAACAAGUGGUUAACUGAUGCCACCAAAGGAGCUACUUGGAUUCCAGUAAACUGGGAUGACUAGUCUCUAGAUUUGAGGAGGCCCGAAAGGCCAUAUACUGCUAACAGGAAAAUCAAGGUGAAUUGGAUCUCGCUGCCGAAUACCACGGGUAGGUUUGAGCUCAUCAAGUUUCUUGCUCUUGAAUAAAAUUGAAUAAGAUACAGAAGCUACCAUGCUCAUUUCUAUGGAGAGGCCCAUUUAACAGAGAAUCCAAACUUGAGCUUUAUCACCUCCAAAUACGCCCAUUCAACUCGAUUAUAAGCCUUCAUCAUAUCCAAUUUUAGAGUACAAUGGCGAUGUUACAAUGACUUAUUCCUUUUCAUGAAAUGUAAGCACUCGUAGGCCACCAUUAUAUUGUCAGUGAUAAGGCGACCCGGAACAGAAGCCGACUAUUCACUCAAUAUUAUCUCCGGAAGGGCCCCUUUUAGCCGGUUAGCCAGAACUUUGGGUGCUAUUUGUAAAGUAAGUUGCAUAGGCUAAUACGACAGAACUGGCUUAGGAAAGUACCAUUUUGUACCUCAUCACUAUCCUCGCCUUCUACAAUACAAAGGACAACCCUUGUUACCUCUUGGCCGCAAAUAUCCCAAUGUUUCUCAAAGAAAUGUUCAGAGAAUCCGUCCGGGCCCAAGGCCUUCAUGCGGAACAUUUGAAACAAUACAAUUUAAACCUCGUUGUAGAAUACUUAGCGUCAAGGAAGGCAUUCAUCGCAUCACUGACCUUUACUGGAACCAAGUCAAGAACGUCAUGCAUAUUAGAAACAGUCUUAGAAGUGAAAAGCUCCGAGUAAAACUAUGUUGUGAUCUCUUCCAAUUCCUUAAGAACACUGAUAACAUCACAUUAGGUUGCUACAAUGUUUUGGUCAAAUUAUUUCGCCUUCUCAUCGAAGCCCUUAAGUGAAAGAAGCAUGUGGUCUUGUCCCCACUAAUCAGCCACUUAGUCUGAGAUCUAGUAGGGAAGAUGAGUGACGGGCAAGUGGUUCGGAACAAUUUCCUCUUAUUCACUUCUAAAAUAAUUUUUCGGUUUUUGUCGUUCCUAAGCCAGGGAUUUGAUAAAUAUUCAUAAAUUUUUAAAAUGUUCACCAAUAUUAAAAACAUCAUGAUUUAAAAAAACCGUGAUUUUUAAACAAAAACAUAAAUAUGAAAAUUGCCAAUUUUUUAUUUUAAAAUAAGACCAUGAAUUUUAAAAGAAUUUUCAAAAUUUUGAUAAAUAUCUGCGAAUUUUACAAAUUUGAUGAAUUUUAAAAACAAACCAUAAAAAACGCUAGCAAGUUCGAUCCUAAAAUAAUGCCUUGCCUUCUACUAUGUGUGGCGUGCAUGGACAGCCCGACCCGGAUGCCCCAGACCGAAAACCCUACAUCUGGGCCGGGCCCGGGCUCCAUUUUUUGGCCCAAAGCCCAGCUCAAAAAGGCAAAAAUGGUAAGAAAUGUAUACUUUAUUCAAAAUAUAGGUAUAUUAUAUUAUUUUAAUAUCUCAAAUAUAAUUACUUCAAUUGAAAAAUGGCGUUGUUCAUGUGUUUCUGGACGGGCCGAGCCAGGCUCAUGCUUGGGAUUUUUGCUUCGGGCUUUGACAAGCCUGGCCCGGGGUAUGAUCAGGUUCAGCAUGGCCCAGUAACACACCCUUGUACAACAUUUUGUUGCAGAGAGCAGCAAAUAUAAUUUUCCCAAUCUAAUAUUGCUCGCUAUAAGUCUAUAUCUAUAUCUAUACUUUUUUUCUAUACUCCUACUAAUAAAGCAAGGUGUGUUUCGCCAAUUUUAUCAUCCGUUCACUGUCGAAAAUAAAUUCUAUCCGAGGUGGUCCUAAAUUCUUAUGCAUUCAUCUGCUAAAAGAAAGGCUUUUCCGGAAUUUCAUACGUCGGCUUCGCUCUCUGGCCCAGUAAAGUCAGCCCACUUAUUUUUUUGCCCAUGCAGCCGCGAAAAUUCUAUUUUCCGCACAGGGCAACAAAUAGUCGGCCCUUCGCACUGGAAAAGAAAUAAUGGGCUGGCCCAUUUUUCUUUGUUUCUGUGUUAUAUUUCUCUUUUUAUUCUCCUUCCCCUAUUUCUUUUUUCACUUCCAAGUUUAUUUUUCUUAUAAAACUUAUUUUAUAAACACAAAAUUCAGAAAAAAAAAUACAGAAUUAAAAAAAACAAAUUAUGGAAAAUGUUCAUAACUCGAUUUUUUUUUGCUAUUUAAAAAAAAUUCAGAACUUGAUUUUUUUUCCUUUUUCGGAAAAUUUUAUUUUUUUUAAUUGUUAGAUAUUUCUAAAAAGAAAAUGGCAAUUUAAAAAGUGCUCCAAAUUCGCAAAAAAACAUGUUUUAGUGAAAUUUUCACAACUCAAAAUAUUGUUAAAAGAUACACAUUUAAAAAAUAGGGAUUUUCAACACAUGUUCCAGUUCUAAAAAAAUGUUGACAAAUUCAAAUAAUGUUCAUAUUUUUAUUUAAAAAGCUCUUAUUUUGAAAGUUUGUAAAUUUUAAAAGAUGUUCCUAUUUCAUAUUUUGUUCAUGUUUUUUUGAAAGUAUACCUAAUUUUCAGAAAACUGUUCAGGAUUUAGAAAAUGGUUCAUGUUUCCUACGAUAUUCAGAAACUUCAUACCUUAAAAUCUCCUCGAUUGAAGGAAAAAUAGAUUGAAUAAUUCAUGGGCCUUCUCUGGUGUACGAUGACGUAACAAAACACUUAAGUGCCCUCAAUCAAUGAAUGAAAAAAUAGCGGAUUGAUUACUUCACACCCGGCAAAACAAAGAAGCUAAAUGUUCCCUUUUUACGUGCGCACAGGGUUUUGCUUGCACAUUUAAUUCUCACUAACUUCUAAUGCAUACUAAUUUUUCUCCCAUUGCAAAGCACGGGCAUAUGUGCUACUUUUUACUAAUAAAGUAAGCUGCGUUUCUCCGACUUUUUUUUCAUCCGUUUACCUUCAAAAAAUUUGUUUUAUCUCAGGUGGUACUAAAUUUUUUUUGCGUCCAUCUGCUAGAAAAAGGAAAAACAGUUUUGUGAAAAAAUUCGUACGUGGGCCGCGCGCGCUGUGGCCCAGCGAAGCCGGCCCAGUUAUUUCCAGCCGAUGCAGCUGAGAAUCAUUAUUUACCGUGUGGGACGGCAAAUACACAAAGUUUCGCAUAGGGCGCCCAAUAUUUGUUUUUUCUCUAGUCUGUUUCUUUUUUUUCUUUUCCUUUCUCUUUUUCUUCUCUCUUUGCUUUUUCUUUUUUCCCUUUCAAGUUUAUUUUUCUUUUCUCCUUUUUUCAUAAAUUAACUUUUUCAAUUUUUCAGAAUUUUAGUUUUGGAUUAAAUUUACGUAAAAUCUUCAUAAAUUAAAUUUUUUUCCCAUUUUGAAUAGUUUUUAAACUAUAAUUUUUUCUUCUUCUGCUUCCAAACUUUAUUCAAAACUAUAGAAUAAAGUUCGCAUAUUAAUUUUUUUUAUGCUUUCCAAAAUUGUUCGGUAUUUUAAAAAUAUAUUGAAUUAAAAAAUUGAAUAUUAAUAUUUUAUUGAAAUGUUCAAAAAUUCAAAGUAAUGUUUUUGUUUAAAAACAUGUUUUUGAAAAUUGUUUUCAAUGUUCAAAACACGUUUUCAUUUUCAAAAGAAUUUCACGUAUUCAAAAUAUGUUUGCUUUCUUAUAAUAGGUUCAUGCUUUCAAAGAAUGUGAAUUUCGAAAAAUUGUUCACAUCUUAAAGAAUAAUCGAAAUAUCAUAAUUAUUACUUUAUUUUUUGAAAAAUUUCAAGAAGAAACAGAAAAAUAAUAAAUAUUUUGAAUGUUACGCUACAGUAUAUUCUUAAACGUUCGCGCCGGCUAUUUGUUAGCAUGAGCUGUUUGUUCGAGUGGCUAGCAGCACGUGGUCGAGUUUUUGAGGUCGUGAGUUUGAUCCUUCAACUUAGUGGUUGUUUUGGAUUUUUAUUCACGCCUUACAAAUACAAGUCGUUUUGGUACCUGCCAGCGGCCUGGCCAGACUCAAUCCGACGUGCUAUUUGACGAUAAAAGAGAAUAUGUUGCUUGACUAUAAUUAAAAAAAAUUGUGGGCACAUGCCAAUAAAAAAGGAUAUGCUGGUUUGGCUCUGAUUAAAAAAAGUUGGCAAGUGAGCGUUGAAAUAAUUAAAGAGAAUAAACCCUGGCAAAGUAGGGACUACCUGUUUACGUGCUUAUUAUAUCAAAGAAACGGGAUUUCCUGCAAUUAGUACUUCAUCCGGUUACACCAUCAUAGGAGAGAGUAGUCGAAGCAAUUAUGCCACGAAGGUCGCCGUGCUGCACAAAAUGAGGAGGCAACCGCAACCUAGACACGGAGGCAGACUCGGAGAAAAAAAAGGCACAAGUUGGGUGGUGGCCACCACUUCACCAACCCCAUCACUAUUAAGAACUCGUGGGCCAAACAUGAUCUUGAGAACAUCGCCGGGGAGACCCUUUGAUGGACACAUCAAUUAUCUCUCCUGAUACUUCUCAUAAAAAAAUAUCUCUCUAGUUCCAACGCACGGGCAUAUGUGCUCGUGAUAUAUAAAAUAUGUUGUGCCAACGAGCACACGGGCUAGCACGACUCGGCCUGCUUCUAUGUCAUACCGGAGUCCAAACACUCGACUGGAGGGUCCAACCUUAGCGACAGAGUCUUCUUUUGCUGGGAGAAUCUAUAUAUCCGCGAGUGUUAUAUCUCGCAUCUGGUUUACGGGCAGUGCACCUAACCACAAGGCUUUGCCUUACAUUCAUGACAGAGUAGUAAAGCUAGUUUGUUUAAGUCCACACGAGUCGAGGUUUUCAAUGUUUCUUCUCCAUUUUUCCAUUUUUUAUUUUUGUUUUUAUAUUUAUUUUAUUUGUUCUUCUUCAUUCUUUUUUUGCAUUUUGUUUCUUUAUUUUUUUCAUUUUCUUUUUUCGGUAUUCUUUGUUCUUUUGGUUAUUAUUUCCACAUUUUUUGUAUAUGUCAACAACAUUUUUCUAAUACACGUCUAACAUUUUUUUUCAAUGUAAGCUAAACAUUUUUGUAAUACAUAUUCAAUACUUUUCUAUACACAUUUUUUAAAAUGCUUGACUAAAAUUUUUAAAUACAAAAUUAAUACUUAUUGAAUACAUGUUCAACAUUUUUCUAUACAUUUUUAACAUUUUAAAAAUGCUUGAUUAACAGUUUUCAAAAAAAAGGUUCAUAUCUUUUAAUACAUGGUCAACAAUUUGUUAAUACAUGAUGGAUAAUUUUCCUAUAGACGUUCAACAAUGCUUGAUUAACAUUUUUCAAAUUUUUGUUCACCAUUUUCAAAUACAUGUUCAACAUUUUCCGAAUGCUUGUUCAACAUUUUUUAAAUGCUUGCUUAACAUUUUUCAAAUAUUUAUUCAACAUUUUUUCGAAUGCUUGAUUAAUAUUUUUCAUAUACUUGUUCAACAUUUUUCGAAUAAUUACUCAAUAUUUUCCAAAUGCUUGAUUAUAUUUUUAAAAAAUUGUUCAACAUGUUCCAAAUACUUGUCCAACAUUUUUCCAAUGCUUGAUUAACAUUUUGUUCAAAUAAGUUUUCAAAAUUUUUCAAAUAUUUAUUGAACAUUUUCCAAAUGUUUUUUGUGGAGUAUUUUUUGUACUAUAUAAAAAGUAUUUUAAAGUAUAAAAAAAUUACAAAUAUAAAACAAUAACGAAAACAUAAAACAUAAAAUAACAGAAAAACAGGUUAUGCCCUCGUUCCCGCAAGGGCCGGCCCAUGUUGCUUGCCUCUUCAGCGAGUCGGAAGUUACGCUCGCUGAAGGCGAGGUAUAGGAGUGCCGCUGUAUAUCUCGCAAAUGAUAGAUCUCGCCUACACGUAUCACCUGGCUGGGCCAAGCCAACAAGCUAUGUGCGAGCUGUUUCAACCCACACAAGAAUGUGUUUUAGGAACCUUAUGCAUGUUUUAGGUCAGAAAAUAAAUCCAAGCAAGUCCUCGUUAUUUUUUAGCAAAAGAUGUUGAUGUAACAUAAACAAGGAAAUUAAAACUAUCUUGAAUGUUCCUAAUGAAUCGUUGAAUGACAAGUACCUAGGAAUGCCUUCUGACAUUGCUACUUCAAAACUUUGGGCCUUCAAAUAUCUCAAGGAUAGGCUGUGGAGCAAGGUUAAGGGAUGGAUCGAAAAAACAUUGUCUUUCACCAGUAAGGAAGUGUUGAUCAAAUCCGUUGCACAGGCAGUACCGGUCUGCUUAAUGUCCUGUUUUAAGAUCCCAAGAGGAUUGUGUUAACACUUAAACAAACUCACCAGGCAGUUUUGGUAGGGCAGUAGAGAAGGAAAACGGAAGCCGAGCUGGGUUUUGUGGAAAUCAAUGACCCAGCCCAAGUUCAUGGGGGGUCUGGGCUUUCGAGAUUUUGAACUCUUUAACAUGGCUUUGUUGGCACGUCACGCAUGGCACCUUUUGCAGGACCCAGAGUCAUUGUGUUCAUGGUUACUUCGACCAGUUUAUUUUCCACAGGGUUCUAUCUUAACGGCGGAAUUGGGCAACCAUCCGUCACAAGUGUAGAUGGCUAUCAUAGAAGUGUCUUGCGCUAGGGCCUUAUCAGGCGAAUUGGCAAUGGCGAAACAACUCAUAUUUGGGAUCAAAUUUGGCUACCGAGAAACACAAUGAUGAGGUGGAUUGUCUGCUUAGGAGAUAACCCUCCUACAAUGGUGAGUGAGUUAAUCGACAUCUCCAAUGCGUCAUCGAGAAGGGGCGUGAUUGAUAACUUUUUUGGGCAAGCGAUGCUCAAGUCAUUCUAAGUAUUCCACUAUGCAUAAGAAACAUGGCGGACUUCUGGCCUGAUUUAGUGAAAAAAGAGGAAACUUUUCGGUGCGGUCGGCCUACCGUAUGUUGGUUGAUAUGAAGAGGCGAAGGGAGGACUGGUUAGAAGGCAGUGGGGGCCGAUCAGAUAUUGAUGUGGAAGCAAAGUCGUGGUUAUCUUUAUGGUCUGUUGAUGUCCCUGGAAAAAUUCGAAACUUACUUUGGCGUUUUGGCAAAGCAAUCAAUACCUACGAAAGAUGUGUGUCACAAAAGAAAUAUGCCGGAUGAUGAUAAAUAUCAGAUGUGUGGAGCUGAAGAUUCGUGGAGACAUUCUCUCGUUGAGUGUUCUGCAUCACGUUGUGUUUGGGCCCUAGCCGAUGUAGAUAUGGUUGAUCAUCUCCAGUCAGUCAAGGAACCGAAUGCCAAGAAAUGGAUUUUCUCAAUGAUUGAUGAUCUACCACAUGCAAAACUGGUCAAAAAAAUUGUUACUUUAUGGGCUAUAUGGUCAGCGAGAAGAAAAUUGAUCCACCAGGGAAUUAUGCAAAGCCCGCACGCCAGACAUUCCUUCAUUGAAAGGUAUAUUGCAUAAUUGGAAACUAUCAAGGCACCUUCAUUGAAAGUAGAUUUAAGAACAAAGAAGCUCAUAGUUUGGUUAAGUUUUCCAGCUCUUUAGAGGCGGGUCGCCACUUGUGGAGUGCCCCAUCACACAAUUGUUAUUCUUGUAAACAUCGUGAUUGAUUAAUAAAGAGGUUUUACCACUAAAAAAAUUGCAUGUGUUAGGAAGGUCUCACGUUAUCUUCUGAUUUUUGGUUUCCUAUAUUUCUAUAUCUACUUCAUUUGCUUUCUUUAUAUCUUUUAUAAUCGUUUUUCUCUUCUUCUUUUAUGGAUUUUGCUUUAUUUCAAACACAUGUCGAAUUUUUUAAAAUACACAUUGAACAUUUUUAGUAUACACGUUGAAUAUUUUUCAGAUACCCGGUAAACAUUUUUUGAACACAUGACCAAUAUUGAUCCAAAUACAGGUUGAACAUUUUAGUAAAAUGAACUUUACCUUGCAAACAUUUUUAAACACACGUUGAACAUUUUUCAAAAAUGUUAUAAACAUUUCUUUAAAACGUGUGAAUAGUUUCUUAAUUGUUUACCAACAUUUUUCUCAAUGAUAAAAAGAUUUUAUUUACAUGUUAUAAAUAUUUUAUAAAAAGUUGAAUAAUGCUAUAGAUUUCCUGCACAUUUUCGAAAAUUGCAUGAACAUAUUUAAAUGUGCAAAAAAAUAAAUUUCAUAAAGAGAAAAAAUAAAUGGUACGGAUACUUUUUAAAAUUAGGUGAAUUUUUUUUUUACAUUUUCAUGAACAGUUUUCAGAAAUGUCAUGAACAUGUAUUAAACAAUUGAACCUUUUUUAAGACACAAACAUAUUUUUAUAGGCGUGAAUAUUUUUUCAAAAUUGUGUUAUAAUUUCUUACAUUUCAUGGACAUUUCUUUAAUACAUGUUUAAAUUUUCUGGAAAAACUAUUUAAAGUAAUUUUUUAAAUAUAGUUUUUUGAUAUUUCAAUAUAUAAACAAAAGAAAAAAAAUCAAAAAAGAAUAAGAAAUUAACAAUUACCAGGUCACCCACUGUAGACCCUCAUUUAGGCGAGGCGAAUGCCUAUGUCUUAAUAAGGCGAGGCGCCAUCCAUAUCUCGCUUGGAGCGAGCAGUACACACGCCUUAAAUAUAUACAUUUAAAGUAUUUGUAUUUUAAAUAUUUAAUAAAUAUAUUUGUAUGUAUUGAAAUGUUUAUCAGGUAUUCAAGAAAUAUUUAUCAGGUAUUAAAAUGGUUUAUUCUGUUUGGAAAAUAGGAUAAUUUUGAUAUCUAUUUUUAGUAAUAGAAAAUAAUAAGAUGCACAGAUACAAAACUAAAAAGAUAAAAUAAGAUUAUCAAGGUAUCAACAUGUGGCUGGGAGUGCCCCAUCACACAAUUGUUAUUCUUGUAAACCUCGUGAUUGAUUAAUAAAGAGGUUUUACCACUAAAAAAAUUGCAUGUUUUAGGAAGGUCUCAUGUUAUUUUCUGAUUUUUGGUUUUCUAUAUUUCUAUAUCUACUUCAUUUGCUUUCUUUAUAUCUUUUAUAAUCAUUUUUCUCUUCUUCUUUUAUGGAUUUUGCUUUAUUUCAAAUACAUGUCAAAUUUUUUUAAAUACGCAUUGAACAUUUUUAAUAUACACGCUGAACAUUUUCAGAUACCCGUUAAACAUUUUUUUGAACGCAUGACCAAUAUUGAUCCAAAUACAAGUUCAAUAUUUUUUUAAACAUUUAUCGGGUAUUAAAACGGUUUAUUCUGUUUGAAAAAUAGGAUAAUUUUGAUAUCUAUUUUUAGUAAUAAAAAAUAAUAAGAUGCAGAGAUACAAAACUAAAAAAGAUAAAAUAAGAUUUAAAAUAGAGCAAGUGAAAAAGGUUAUAAAUUGAAGAAAGUUUUCUACCCCAAAAAGGGUUUUUUUUUGUUCUGGCAAACUUGAAAAACCAUUGCGAACUGAUAAAAAAAUGCUUUUCAAAAAAAAUCUUUAUAUACUGUUCAUUUUUUUGAAAGAAGUAGAAAAAAGAAUUGGACAAAAGAAAAGCAGGAAUAAGGGAACCAGAAGGAAUAGCGAAAACCGGACAAAACCCCGGUUCCUAGAAAAAACUGCAAUAAAAACCAAUGUAAGAUGCACAAAAUAAUCGAUGAAGAAAACCAAACCGUAUUGCGCCAGCCCGUGUUUGGUGCGGUUGUAGGCGAGCAUGACCACGGACUCGCACUAGGCCAGAUAAGAAGGACCUUGAUAAGUGUCACACUUGUGGCAUGAACGCAUGGCAACUUCGAACAUUUAUUUGGCAAGUUUAGUGACGCAAGCAGGGGCGGAGAGGGGGUAGACCCCCCCCCCCNNNNNNNNNNNNNNNNNNNNNNNNNNNNNNNNNNNNNNNNNNNNNNNNNNNNNNNNNNNNNNNNNNNNNNNNNNNNNNNNNNNNNNNNNNNNNNNNNNNNNNNNNNNNNNNNNNNNNNNNNNNNNNNNNNNNNNNNCGGAGAUUACCUGCCUAAUUAUGUCAUUUAAGCCCAAAAAUCCACGUUGUUGUUCAUGCGCCAAAGCCCAGGAUGCAACAAAGAUAGCCCAUCUACCUUGCCUGUGUAUAUAGACGAUAGAUCAUGGAGGCCUGGUAGUUCGUUCGAUCUCUUCUCGCCUGACGAUCAGAUCGCUAGAUCUAUCUAUCUCGCCGCCAUGGCGCUAGGACGUCUGCCGCCGGACGCUGGUCCCAAGUCGCUGACCUUGGACUUGAUUCCUGGCUUGUCGACGCAGCGGAGUAGCGGGGAAUACGACGGCUGCCGCCGACGGUCCUCUUGGUCGCUUCCGUCCACACACAACCAGAUAAUUAGGCAAGGUACAUACACGGUAUUGUACUUUAUAUACCUAAAAGUUUUGCCAGUAUGAUGUAUCCCCCUUUUCCUUUUGUUUGGCUAUAUAUACUUUGUUAGUCGGAAAACAAAGAGAAUUGUUCAUGUGAAUUGCCUCAAUCUCAAAUCUGUGCUGGGGCCAAAAUUUUGGAUCGAGACAUUGAUGAAUAGUGACAGUAGAGCUAUAUUUAAAAAAAAAAAUCAAUAAAGUACAGCCAAUUUUAAAGUUUUCUGUGUUUCUGAAUUUUAGUAUUUGGGAUUAUUUGUUAUUGACCUNNNNNNNNNNNNNNNNNNNNNNNNNNNNNNNNNNNNNNNNNNNNNNNNNNNNNNNNNNNNNNNNNNNNNNNNNNNNNNNNNNNNNNNNNNNNNNNNNNNNNNNNNNNNNNNNNNNNNNNNNNNNNNNNNNNNNNNNNNNNNNNNNNNNNNNNNNNNNNNNNNNNNNNNNNNNNNNNNNNNNNNNNNNNNNNNNNNNNNNNNNNNNNNNNNNNNNNNNNNNNNNNNNNNNNNNNNNNNNNNNNNNNNNNNNNNNNNNNNNNNNACGCAAGGAUAGCAACUGUAGUCGUCAAGCACGACAACUUUCCUUUCGGUUGGCAAGUUUUAUUUUUUUUUUCCUUUUCGGAUGACAACUUAGUUGUAAGAAACGUUAAUACCGGAGUGCUUCGUGCCACACGUGUGGCACUUAUCAUUUGAAAAAAAGAAACCAGACAUAGCCUUUCCGCUUCUUGUCCACCUCAGCGACAGUGGAUUGGUUGGUUCCAUUGAAUCCUUUGCAAAUAUGAUUGAACUCUAGAUAUGAAGGCGAACUCGACGUCAGACCGAUCUGAAAGGUACUAUUGCGCGCAUGUGAUUAACAAGCUAGAGGGGAAUUUGAAACAGAAGAUUGCAAGCGUCCAAGAAGAAGAAGAAGAAACAUCUAUCCGUGUACGUAUGUGGAAUAUUCUUCUCAUUGUAUUUGGAUUUUCUUAGCCAUACUAGAUUAGAAUAAAUAAUUACUAACUAGUAGGUGUGCGCGUGGGUAGAAUGGUGACCCCCACACGGACGCAAAGGGGACACAACACACCUAUGGCUAGGUACUAGGUAGCACCUAGCUUCACACCACUGCAUAUUGCCUGCAGGAAAAACUCAAGGCCAGCAACAAGGCUGCUUGAUCGUGAGAUCAUGAAAAGCAUUUCCAUAACACAUUUCUUUGUUACCUCUCAAGCAUAUGUGUAGCACACACCAAUGUUUCAAAUGUCGGGAACAUACAUAUUCCCGGCCAAGCUGCAAAUAAUUCCAGAUUUUCUUUUCUUUUUUUUGGAAGUUUGAAAAUUCUCUAAAUUUCAAUGAGAUUUGGGCUAAUUUAUGCUUUGCUUGAAUUGGGCCGGAUGAUUCAAGGCUACAGAUAUUCCGGCGCCCGGCAACGAAUCUACUCGAAUUUCGUCGAAAUUCCGGUCGAUGUCUCGUGCAUACAGACGGACGGACGGAGUACAUACAUAUAUACACACAUACUCCCUCUGUAAACUAAUAUAAGAGCAUUUAAAUUACUAAAGUAGUGAUCUAAAUGCUCUUAUAUUAGUUUACGGAGGGAGUAGAAAAGAAGAACUGGUCCAUUUGAUGGGAAGAAGAAAGGAAGAGAAAAUGAAAUGGGCUCUUGGUAGUGACUUGCCAAGGUGGAUAAUGUUGUUGCAUGCUUGUGAAACUUGGAAUCUUGCACCCCCAUCAACAUGAGAGAGUUGGUUGAGAUGUUGAGGUAACUAACUACUCAACUAACUUGCAUGCCCUACCUUCCUUUUUGAGCAAGCUGCUAGCUUUGCUUCCACUGUUGGAAGUCCCCAAACAUAAAACUCAUGCACCGUCCACCCCAAGCAACCCCUCUCCCCUCUCCUCUCCAUGGAGGAGUUCAACCAGAAGAAAUAUUCCUCAUCUUCUUCUCCCUCCCUCUCAGCUAACCUCUCUAGCUCCCGCCAUUGAUCGUCAAAGCUUAUAUAUACCGCAGGCUCCUCCGACAAGACAAGAUCGUCCCUUCUCCCAUCCCUCCUCUCCUCCAUUGAUCCAUUCCCACAAGCAAGAAACAAACAGAGCUCCACCGCCAAGAAACCUCCACCAAUGGCGAACACCAAGAAGAGGGAGAUGGUGUUCUUCGACGUGGAGGCGGCGCCGCCGUCCGGCGAGUGCCGCCUGCUGGAGUUCGCCGCCAUCCUCGUCUGCCCGCGCCGCCUCGUCGAGGUCUCCAGCUACUCCACCCUCAUCCGCCCGGACGACGCCGGCGCCGACGGUGGCGUCCUCUCCGCCUCCUCCGCCGCGCCCUCGUUCGAGGACGUCUUCCCGGACAUCUUCGAGCUGCUGGACGGCCGCGUGUGGGCGGGCCACGGCAUCCGGCGCGCCGGCUGCCCGCGCGUGCGCGGGGCCUUCGCCGCCUUCGGCCUGCCCGCGCCGGAGCCCGUGGGCGUCGUCGACUCCCUCGACGUGCUCCUCGCGCAGGGCGCGCAGGGGUGCUUCGGGCCGGCCGGCGCCGGGGACGACGGCCAGGAGGACGAGGAGGCGGCGGCGGCGGCCCUGGCGGAGCACUUCGGGAUCGGCGCGCGGCGGGCGCGGGGGCUCCGGUGCCUGGACGGCGCGCGCGUGAGCCUCGAGGUGCUCAAGCACUGCGCCGGCGUGCUGCUGCUCGAGUCCAGCCUCCGCGGCGACGUGCCCGCCGGCGCCAGCCGCAGGAGCAAGCCGGCGGCGACGCCCAAUCCCAUCAGCAACAACACGCUGGAGAAGGCGUUUGCCCUCGCGGCGGCCAAGACGACGACGCCGGCGAAGGCGGCCACGGCCCCUCCUCCUCGGUCUCCUGCUGCUGCUUCUCCGGCGGCUGUUCAGAAGGUGAAGACGAGCACGGGGAAGAGGGACAGCACGGGGCAGGUGGUGGUGGUGAAGAAGGGCGCGACGGCGGCGACCGUGACGACAACGACGGCUACCGGCGGUCGCC
rnacentral:lncRNA from 1 species